AGAUAUUUGCCCUUUGUUCAUAUCAAAAAGUGCUGAGAGCUGGAACUGUGUCUGAGAGUAAUGUUAACUGAGGUUGUCUGUUUUGGAAGAUCAAUCAUGGUCCUGCUCAUCCUUCUUCUCUCUUCAUCCUGAUUGUCUUCAUCAAGCUGAGCUUAUUUAUGGGUCAGCUUUCUCUGUGGUUUUGGCAAAGUGCUUCAAACAGAUAUUCUAGAGCAGCUCACAGCAGACACUGACCUGUGAAGGGGAUGCAGAAUGAAAGAGCACUAACCACCAAGGGGGCUUUGGAGUGAUCUGAACCAGCAUGCAGCUCUCCAGACACAUCAUUUCAGAGGUGCUAGUAUGGAGCACAGCAGAGGAUUCUCUUGGGUGGCUGACACCAUGGCCAGGGAACGGGAACAGGGACGCUGCAGGUUUCAGGUGUGUGGCUGUGCAUGACAAAGCCUUGUGACAGCCAGCAGUGCCCUGCAGAGAGCAGAAGGCAGAUCAAGGAGGGUGCUGGUAGAGUUCAAAUGUGAAUAGUGUGGUAUGGCAUCCUAAAAGGCAUGUUAAAUUCUGCAGCUGUGAUCAGAGCUACUCAGAAGGAGGAAUCAGCAUCAGCACAGAUCUGCUCUCUGGUUUUGACUAAUCACUCACUUCUAGCAGCUCUUGUGCAAAACUAAAGGGGUCUAGCUUCAGUUUUCUGCCUUUUAAACUGUUUGUGUCCCAGAUUUGGGAAUUCUGAAAUUUACAAGGGACUGAAAAGCACCAAAGCAAUUUUUUUUAGAACUAAUGGAACUAAAAUCUGAGUAACUCCAAUGUCUGAGUCUAGUCUCCUCUGCUUCUACUGAGGGUAUAGGCUCCAAGGAGCUCACAGUCUAGACAAAAGACUCAUGGAAAAGGCCCAAAGUGCUGGAGCAAUGUCUGCUAUACAUGCUGGGUGAGCUACUCCUGCAGAGUUGUCUCUGUAGGUGAUGAGUACUGUAAGGAAAAACAAAACAAGCUCCUCUGACCAGGAUUUUGGCAGUGGAUCAGGUCAGAGGUUGUGCAAUGGACUUGUGGAAGUGGCUUGACCUGAAAGAGUGCAUUGGGCAGGAUACCUGUGCCAGUGAUGCACACAUCCAUGAGCUCUGCCUUCUCUGGCAAGUGGCGCUGCAAAUAGAGCUGGAUGAGCCUGACUCCUAACAGAAUGGAAACCCUCAAGUGCUCAUAGUAGUCAUGACAUUGGCUCAGGGGCUUACAGAAUUAAUAAGUGGCUGCAGUUCAUGUUCCAAGCCAAAUCCUCUCGCUGGUCAUUAAUUUACAACCAGUGCCCACAGCACUGAUUAUAGUUCCCUGGAAGAAAUCUUCAAAUCCAGCCAAAGAUUUUUUAAUGCUUCCCUCUCAGAUGCCCAUUGUAAGGCUGAAAGCUGGAUCUUCUUGUUCACUGCAGGUUCUCAAAAAGGAGAUUGCUCCUGUAAAAUGUGCAUCAGCAGUGUGAGUCUCAGCUUGGGACAAGCAGAAGCAGCAGCUGCUGCUGCCGCUGCCAUGCACGCCCCCUCUCAGCGAAUUACCCGCCGUGCUGGCUCCCCUCUUCUGAAGCUGGUCAGUCUUAACGGUGAGCUGCUUGGGAGGAGAGAGUUUCUGUAGUUCUUCUGGUUUGCUGUCAUGGAAAAUUAUCUUCCCUUCUGCACAUCUGCUGAGCAUAAAGCUGCAAUAUUCAGCAAGAGUGAAGGAUGAAAACAGCUGUAAUUUCUUUUUGAAAUACAGAUCAAAUCACCUGCCAACUCCAAUGAGCUGGCAUUGGACCUGGGUGCUUUCUCCACUGAGCAGGUUAUUGGAGAAGGUAUCUGGCUGGAUGGGCAGCUCCUGUGCUUGACCUCACCCCUCCUCAGUCAGCAGACGCAGGAGCUUUGCCUGGGCUCUGUCAGGGGGCUGCACAGGGGCUGCUCCUGUUUUUGCACAAGUGAUGCUGCAGAUGCUCUGUGUCGGGGUAGCCCAGAGACUGAGAGGGUUUGUCCGGGGCUGGUCAGCCAUGUGCCCAGCAGGCUCAGCACUGCACUCAGCUACAGCACUGUGUGAGGUCCUUGUGCUGCAAGAGAGACAUUUUAUCUCCCUCCAGCUCUGGAAAAGGUGGUGCCUACAGGGCACAGGUGAGGAGAAGUGGGAAGAAGGAUUCUCUCUGCGAUGCCAUCAUUAUACUCAUCCCUCCAAGAUUUGCAAGAUCUGACCACCCCCUCAGCAUUUUACACACAGUUUAUGCCAGCCAUUCUCCUGGCCUCCACCCUGACUGGGGAGGGGGAUGAAGA